GAUAAGAACGUAGCGAAAUGCGAUAAGUAAUGUGAAUUGCAGAAUUCAGUGAAUCAUCGAAUCUUUGAACGCAUCUUGCGCUCCUUGGUAUUCCUUGGAGCAUGCCUGUUUGAGUAUCAUGAGCAAAUCUCAAAGUCAAUUCCUUUUGUUAAUUCAAUUGGUUUUGCUUUGGACUUGGAGGUCUUGCAGAUUUCACAGUCUGCUCCUCUUAAAUGCAUUAGCUGGAUCUCAGUAAUUAUGCUUGGUUCCACUCGGCGUGAUAAGUAUCACUCGCUGAGGACACUGUUAAAAAGGUGGCCAGGAAAAUACUGAUUGAACCGCUUCUAACGGUCUAUUAAGUUAGACAAUUGACCCUUAAGUUUGAUCUCAAAUCAGGUAGGACUACCCGCUGAACUUAAGCAUAUCAAUAAGCGGAGGA
rnacentral:misc_RNA from 1 species